GGGUGAAUAGCUCAAUGCUAAAGCAACGGUCUCCAAAACCGUAGGUUGUGGGGUGAGAACCCACUUCACCUGCCA
rnacentral:tRNA from 1 species